GAUGAACGCUGGCGGCGUGCCUAAUACGUGCAAGUCGAGCGAACGGACGAGAAGCUUGCUUCUCUGAUGUUAGCGGCGGACGGGUGAGUAACACGUGGAUAUCCUACCUAUAAGACUGGGAUAACUUCGGGAAACCGGAGCUAAUACCGGAUAAUAUUUUGAACCGCAUGGUUCAAAAGUGAAAGACGGUCUUGCUGUCACUUAUAGAUGGAUCCGCGCUGCAUUAGCUAGUUGGUAAGGUAACGGCUUACCAAGGCAACGAUGCAUAGCCGACCUGAGAGGGUGAUCGGCCACACUGGAACUGAGACACGGUCCAGACUCCUACGGGAGGCAGCAGUAGGGAAUCUUCCGCAAUGGGCGAAAGCCUGACGGAGCAACGCCGCGUGAGUGAUGAAGGUCUUCGGAUCGUAAAACUCUGUUAUUAGGGAAGAACAUAUGUGUAAGUAACUGUGCACAUCUUGACGGUACCUAAUCAGAAAGCCACGGCUAACUACGUG
rnacentral:rRNA from 1 species